CGAGGUGCCCUCUCGAACCGGCUGAUAGAAGCGUCGUAACUCCGAUCUUCCCAGUUCAGAGGGCACUUCUAUCUCCGGGGUCCCGUCGAGCCGAGCUUCGUCGGUGGAUCGAG
rnacentral:sRNA from 18 species